AACGAACGCUGGCGGCAUGCCUAACACAUGCAGGUCGAACGAGACCUUCGGGUCUAGUGGCGCACGGGUGCGUAACGCGGGGGAACCUGCCCUUAGGUUCGGAAUAACUCCCCGAAAGGGGUGCUAAUACCGGAUAAUGUCUUCGGACCAAAGAUUUAUCGCCUUUGGAUGGGCCCGCGUUGGAUUAGCUAGUUGGUAGGGUAAAAGCCUACCAAGGCGACGAUCCAUAGCUGGUCUGAGAGGAUGAUCAGCCACACUGGGACUGAGACACGGCCCAGACUCCUACGGGAGGCAGCAGUGGGGAAUAUUGGACACUGGGCGAAAGCCUGAUCCAGCAAUGCCGCGUGAGUGAUGAAGGCCUUAGGGUUGUAAAGCUCUUUUACCCGGGAUGAUAAUGACAGUACCGGGAGAAUAAGCUCCGGCUAACUCCGUG
rnacentral:rRNA from 1 species